rnacentral:rRNA from 1 species
GGCUUAACACAUGCAAGUCGAGCGGAAACGAUGAUAGCUUGCUAUCAGGCGUCGAGCGGCGGACGGGUGAGUAAUACUUAGGAAUCUACCUAGUAGUGGGGGAUAGCUCGGGGAAACUCGAAUUAAUACCGCAUACGUCCUACGGGAGAAAGCAGGGGAUCUUUGGACCUUGCGCUAUUAGAUGAGCCUAAGUCGGAUUAGCUAGAUGGUGGGGUAAAGGCCUACCAUGGCGACGAUCUGUAGCUGGUCUGAGAGGAUGAUCAGCCACACCGGGACUGAGACACGGCCCGGACUCCUACGGGAGGCAGCAGUGGGGAAUAUUGGACAAUGGGGGGAACCCUGAUCCAGCCAUGCCGCGUGUGUGAAGAAGGCCUUUUGGUUGUAAAGCACUUUAAGCAGUGAAGAAGACUCUUCGGUUAAUACCCGGGGACGAUGACAUUAGCUGCAGAAUAAGCACCGGCUAACUCUGUGCCAGCAGCCGCGGUAAUACAGAGGGUGCAAGCGUUAAUCGGAAUUACUGGGCGUAAAGCGAGCGUAGGUGGCUUGAUAAGUCAGAUGUGAAAUCCCCGGGCUUAACCUGGGAACUGCAUCUGAAACUGUUAGGCUAGAGUAGGUGAGAGGGAAGUAGAAUUUCAGGUGUAGCGGUGAAAUGCGUAGAGAUCUGAAGGAAUACCGAUGGCGAAGGCAGCUUCCUGGCAUCAUACUGACACUGAGGCUCGAAAGCGUGGGUAGCAAACAGGAUUAGAUACCCUGGUAGUCCACGCCGUAAACGAUGUCUACUAGUCGUUGGGUCCCUUGAGGACUUAGUGACGCAGCUAACGCAAUAAGUAGACCGCCUGGGGAGUACGGCCGCAAGGUUAAAACUCAAAUGAA